AUGAAAAUGCAUUUGAGUUUUUUUGUUCAGAAUUGCGUAUAAAAUGUGGCUGUUGAGCACUUUUUCGCGAUUGAGAUACGUGAACUUCGA